rnacentral:rRNA from 1 species
UAGUUUAGUAUUUUUUAAAUUUUGAUAUUGCAUAUCGUUUAAAGAAAAUUUUAUAGAAAUAAAUAAUAGAAAGAGAAAGUAGAAGAUUAAUUUAUUUUAUUGUUUCAAAAUAAGAAUUAUUAAUUUUAGUGUUGAAAAGUCGCUUUUUUUGAUAUCUGUUUUAUUGUUAAAUAUUAGAAAUUUAUAUUAUAUGGAAAAAUUUUGAAUUAAAUAGAAUUUGAAGUUUUUUUAUUAUUAGUUUUAUAACUGUUGUUUUUUUUAUUAAAUGGCUUUUUUUUUGUUUAAUAGAUUUUUAUUAAAUUUAUAAUUUUGAAAUUAGUAAUUUUUUGGUAAGUAGUUGUUUGUUUAAAUAUAAGUUUUGAAAUUGAAAUUCAAUCAAAUGUUUUUUAAAGACUUAGACUUUUUAAUAAAGUUGGCUUCUGCCCGGUGAGUUUUUUAACGGCAGUCUUAGCGUGAGGACAUUAAGGUAGCAAAAUAAUUUGUGCUUUUAUUGGGUUCUAGUAUGAAUGAAGUUAUUGGUUGAUUUUUUAUUUUUUUUUUUUAUGAAUUUAAAUAGGUAUAAAAAUGUACUUGUACAGUUUUACAAAGAUAAGUCUUUGGAAAUUCUUUUUUGAUUUUUAUAAUGUUUUGUUAUAUUAUUAAAAAAUUUUCUAGGGUAGAAUAUUAUAUAUUUUGAAGAACUAAAGGUAAGUUUAGGAAUUACUCCAGAGUUAACAGAAAAUCAUACUUAAUCUAGUUCUUAUAGUAGAGUAAGUUUUACAUCGAUGUUGUAUUUAAGUAUAUUAAGGAGGAGAAGAUUUAAUUUUUAAGACUGUUCUUCUUUUAAUUAAUUUAACGUGAUAUUAGUUUAAUUCAUCGUGAGAUAGAAUUGUUUAUCUUGAUAAUUGUUAUUAAUUAGUUUUAUUAGUACGAAAGGAAUUUAGUGAAAAGUUUAAAACUUUUUGAUCGGUUGUUGUUCAUU